UACGUAGGGCGCGAGCGUUAUCCGGAAUUAUUGGGCGUAAAGAGCUCGUAGGCGGUUUGUCGCGUCGAAUGUGAAAACCCGGGGCUCAACCCCGGGCCUGCAUUCGAUACGGGCAGACUAGAGUUCGGUAGGGGAGUCUGGAAUUCCUGGUGUAGCGGUGAAAUGCGCAGAUAUCAGGAGGAACACCAAUAGCGAAGGCAGCUCGCUGGGACGGUACUGACGCUAAGGCGCGAAAGCGUGGGGAGCGAACAGG
rnacentral:rRNA from 1 species